UACGUAGGGGGCUAGCGUUGUCCGGAAUCAUUGGGCGUAAAGCGCGCGUAGGCGGCCCUGUAAGUCCGUUGUGAAAGUCAAAGGCUCAACCUUUGAAAGCCGAUGGAUACUGCAGGGCUAGAGUCCGGAAGAGGCGAGUGGAAUUCCUGGUGUAGCGGUGGAAUGCGCAGAUAUCAGGAGGAACACCGGUGGCGAAGGCGGUUCUCUGGGCAUUACCUGACGCUGAGGAGCGAAAGCAUGGGGAGCGAACAGG
rnacentral:rRNA from 1 species